rnacentral:rRNA from 1 species
CCUACGGGAGGCAGCAGUGAGGAAUAUUGGACAAUGGACGAGAGUCUGAUCCAGCGAAGUAGCGUGAAGGAUGACUGCUCUAUGGGUUGUAAACUUCUUUUACAUGGGAAUAAAAUGUUCCACGUUUGGGAUUUUGUCUGUACCACAUGAAUAACGACCGGCUAACUCCGUGCCAGCAGCCGAGGUAAUACGGAGGGUCCUAGCGUUAUCCGGAUUUAUUGGGUUUAAGGGGAGCGUAGGUGGAUUGUUAAGUCAGUUGUGAAAGUUUGCGGCUCAACCGUAAAAUUGCAGUUGAAACUGGCAGUCUUGAGUACAGUAGAGGUGGGCGGAAUUCGUGGUGUAGCGGUGAAAUGCUUAGAUAUCACGAGGAACACCGAUUGCGAAGGCAGCUCACUGGACUGCAACUGACACUGAGGCUCGAAAGUGUGGGUAUCAAACAGGAUUAGAUACCCUUGUAGUC